rnacentral:tRNA from 1 species
GAGGGUACAGCUCAAGUGGUAGAGUGCAUACUUAGCAUGCAUAGGACUUGGGUUCAAUUCCCAGUACCUCCU